CCGCCAUUAACUCAACUGGAAGAGUAUUUAGCUUAAUUAAGGUUAAGAGUCGAGGUUCGAUGCCUCGAUGGCGGACCA
rnacentral:tRNA from 4 species